rnacentral:rRNA from 1 species
UACGUAGGGGGCAAGCGUUGUCCGGAAUCAUUGGGCGUAAAGAGCGUGUAGGCGGCCAGAUAAGUCCGCUGUGAAAUCUCGAGGCUCAACUUCGAGCUGUCGGUGGAAACUGUCUGGCUAGAGUCCGGAAGAGGAGAAUGGAAUUCCUGGUGUAGCGGUGAAAUGCGCAGAUAUCAGGAGGAACACCCGUGGCGAAGGCGGUUCUCUGGGACGGUACUGACGCUGAGACGCGAAAGCGUGGGGAGCAAACAGG